rnacentral:rRNA from 1 species
UACGGAGGGUGCGAGCGUUGUCCGGAAUCACUGGGCGUAAAGGGCGCGUAGGCGGCAGGCCAAGCGUGCGGUGAAAGUCCGGGGCUCAACCCCGGAUCUGCCGUGCGGACUGGUUUGCUAGAGCACUGUAGAGGCGAGUGGAAUUCCGGGUGUAGCGGUGGAAUGCGUAGAGAUCCGGAAGGACACCGGUGGCGAAGGCGGCUCGCUGGGCAGUGGCUGACGCUGAGGCGCGACAGCGUGGGGAGCAAACAGG